UUUAGGAGGAUCAAAAGAUUUUUUUGGCGUAAAAUAACAAUGAAAAAAAGGGGAUUUCUGAAUUCAAACUUAGGCAGCAUUAGCUCCUUAAAACACAACCUGUAUGUUAUUCCUCUGGAGCAUAAUCUGUCUUUAUUUUGGGGUUUUAAGUGUAAAUUACCCUUUAAAGUAAUCAAACAUAUCAUUUAAUUUGUUGUUUUUAUUUUUGUGUAAUUGGUGUUCUAAAAAUGACUUGAAGUCAGCUCAGUAUUUCUUUAUAUUUAGACAAAGUAAUUUACCUUUUAUUUUGAAAGGCUCUCGGCGAGACCUCUAGACUUCCGGUUGUUUGGUCAUCACAGUAAAAGUAUUCAAAAGUUAAUUUAAAGGACUAGCACCUGGCUAUAAAGGGCACAAGCUCUUAUGGUGCCUUCAAUGACCGUUCUAAAUAAAAGGAUAUGAACCAUCAGUUAAAGAGUCAGACCAUCAAUUAGCCGGGACGCUAUAUUAAGCAUUUUACUUCUGUAUGCAGUAAAAUGAAAAAAAUCCAAUCCCAUGAGAAGAAAAGUCCAGUUCAUGAUGACCACCAUGUUUCACUUUGGUAGGCCACAAUCACGGGAAAGACUGCUGACUUGGCAUUGUCAUUGACACCUUGGACAAGGAGGCUGACAAUCCCAGCAGCCCAGAAUCGUCCAUCUUCAGAUUGCAGAGUGAAAGCACUCCCACUGUCACCAUUGCAAGAGUCCUGUCCACCUUCGGGAGUACCAGCGCAGAACAUGUUGUCUGUUAGUAUUGGUGUCCU